UACAGAGACUGCAAGCGUUGUUCGGAUUCAUUGGGCGUAAAGGGUGCGUAGGCGGCUCGUUAAGUCGGAUGUGAAAUCUCACAGCUUAACUCUGAUACUUCAUUCGAAACUAGCGGGCUUGAGGACUGGAGAGGAGACUGGAAUAGUCGGUGUAGCGGUGAAAUGCGUAGAGAUCGACUAGAACACCGGUGGCGAAGGCGAGUCUCUGGACAGUUCCUGACGCUCAGGCACGAAAGCCAGGGGAGCAAACGGG
rnacentral:rRNA from 1 species